AUGUCGGAUUCAUCAUCAUACUCAGAUGACUCUGAUGAACUAGCCACAUCCAAAAUCAUGGAAGAGUAUGUUGCUGAGCAAACCGUCCUGGACUCCUUCGCUGAGCGGCUCAUGAUGAAGAUCAAGGCUAGGAUUUCAGCUGGAUCAUCUCAGCGACGAAGUGGUCCAAGGAAGAUCAUUCGAAGGGAUCAUGGAGGUGCUCAUGAACGUUUGGUGGAGGACUAUUUUGCUGCUGAUCCACUCUACGACGAGAGUAUGUUUCGUACAAGAUUUUGCAUGAAUAAACACCUCUUCCUACGCAUUGUGAAUGCUCUUGGUCAGUGGUCUCCCUAUUUCACUUAUAGGGCAGAUUGUUCUGGCCGAAUAGUCCUCUCACCAUUGCAGAAGUGUACUGCAGCCAUGUGCAUGCUAGCGUAUGGCACCCCUGCAGAUGCCCUUGAUGAGUACUUGAAGAUUGGGAAGUCCACUGCAUUAGAGUGUAUGGACAAGUUUGCACGGGGUGUGAUUGCGGUGUUCGGCGGGGAAUACUUGCGACGCCCCACAAGAGAGGAUAUUGAGUGCUUGCUUCAGGUUAACGAGUCUCGUGGUUUUCCUGAAAUGUUAGGAAGUAUUGAUUGCAUGCACUGGCAAUGGGAGAAGUGUCCUUUAGCAUGGAGGGGGCAAUUCACCCGUGGCGAUUAUGGAGUGCCUACAAUGAUCCUAGAAGCCGUUGCUUCCCAGGACCUUCGUAUUUGGCAUGCUUUCUUUGGAAUUGCUGGGUCAAACAAUGACCUUAAUGUGCUCAACCAGUCCCCACUGUUUUUUGAUGCCUUGAAAGGAGAAGCCCCUCAAGUUCAGUUUUCAGUCAAUGGAAAUGAGUAUAGCACGGGUUACUACCUUGCCGAUGGUAUACACCCAGAGUGGGCUGCCUUCAUGAAGACCAUACCACUUCCCCAAAUAGAUAAACAUAAGUUAUUUGCCAAGUACCAAGAAGGGGCAAGGAAAGAUGUGGAGCGUGCUUUUGGGGUAUUGCAGUCCCGAUUUACCAUUGUUCGCCGACCUGCACGACUAUGGCAGAGAAAGAGUGUUGGAAGGAUCAUGCGAGCAUGUAUGAUUCUCCACAACAUGAUAGUCGAAGAUGAGAGAGAGCAAGUUAACGUUCAUAUUGACUUGAAUGAGAUUCCAGGGGCUUCAUUUGCUCUACCCCCUGAAGUGAAUGUUGGUGGUAAUCUUUGUUUUGCUUAUGUACUGCGUAGGAAAGCUACCAUCCGUGCUCGUCCACAACAUAACCAACUUAAAAAUGAUCUGGUCGAGCAUAUUUGGCAUAGGCAUCACAAUUAG
rnacentral:rRNA from 1 species